ACGCACGCUGGCGGCGUGCUUAACACCUGCAAGUCGAACGGAAAGGCCCUGCUUUUGUGGGGUGCUCGAGUGGCGAACGGGUGAGUAACACGUGAGUAACCUGCCCUUGACUUUGGGAUAACUUCAGGAAACUGGGGCUAAUGCCGGAUAGGAGCUCCUGCUGCAUGGUGGGGGUUGGAAAGUUUCGGCGGUUGGGGAUGGACUCGCGGCUUAUCAGCUUGUUGGUGGGGUAGUGGCUUACCAAGGCUUUGACGGGUAGCCGGCCUGAGAGGGUGACCGGCCACAUUGGGACUGAGAUACGGCCCAGACUCCUACGGGAGGCAGCAGUGGGGAAUAUUGCACAAUGGGCGGAAGCCUGAUGCAGCAACGCCGCGUGCGGGAUGACGGCCUUCGGGUUGUAAACCGCUUUCGCCUGUGACGAAGCGUGAGUGACGGUAAUGGGUAAAGAAGCACCGGCUAACUACGUG
rnacentral:rRNA from 1 species